AGCAGCCGCGGUAAUUCCAGCUCCAAUAGCGUAUAUUAAAGCUGUUGCAGUUAAAAAGCUCGUAGUUGAAUUUCGGGACCAAUCUGCCGGUCGUGCCUCCGGUACGCACUGGUUUUAUUGGUUUCUCCCUUCUGACGAACUAUGAUGUCAUUAAUUUGGUGUCAUGGGGAAUCAGGACUGUUACUUUGAAAAAAUUAGAGUGUUUAUAGCAGGCUCACGCUUGAAUACAUUAGCAUGGAAUAAUGAAAUAGGACGUUUGACCCUAUUUUGUUGGUUUCUAGGAUCGACGUAAUGAUUAAUAGGGAUAGUUGGGGGCAUUAGUAUUCAAUUGUCAGAGGUGAAAUUCUUGGAUUUAUUGAAGACUAACUACUGCGAAAGCAUUUGCCAAGGAUGUUUUCAUUAAUCAAGAACGAAAGUUAGGGGAUCGAAGACGAUCAGAUACCGUCGUAGUCUUAACCAUAAACUAUGCCGACUAGGGAUCGGAUGAUGUUAAUUUUUUAAUGACUCAUUCGGCGCCUUA
rnacentral:rRNA from 1 species